UACGUAGGGGGCAAGCGUUGUCCGGAAUCAUUGGGCGUAAAGAGCGCGUAGGCGGUCCGGUAAGUCCGCUCUGAAAGUCCGGGGCUCAACCCCGGGAGGCGGGCGGAUACUGUCGGGCUAGAGUCCGGAAGAGGCGAGUGGAAUUCCUGGUGUAGCGGUGAAAUGCGCAGAUAUCAGGAGGAAUACCGAUGGCGAAGGCAGCCCCCUGGGCUAACACUGACGCUCAUGCACGAAAGCGUGGGGAGCAAACAGG
rnacentral:rRNA from 1 species